ensembl:rRNA 5S_rRNA 5S ribosomal RNA
GCUUACGGCCAUACCACCCUGAACACGCCUGAUCUUGUCUGAUCUCGGAAGCUAAGCAGGGUCGGGCCUGGUCAGUACUUGGACGGGAGACCGCCUGGGAAUACCAGGUGCUGUAAGCU